UAAGUCCGCGGGUCCCUGCGGAAGAAAAUGAGCUCAGCCGGAGACAGGAGCAAACUGCAGAAGAUCCAAGUUUAUUGCGCAACAGGUUCAAGGCGAGAUUGAACAGCGAGAAAGGGGUGACAUGAACUUUUGAAAUUUCCCUCCAUGUCCCAGAAUACAGUGCAAAAUACAUCCCAGUUACAUCAUGAAUACAUUAAGAAGAGGUUGGGUCACACAGGAUUAACAUAUGGAGGAGGGAGGGGGGAAUAUGCAGAGCUGGAGAUAUGCGCAGAUAAGCACAUCCUGAGUACCUGAUGAGAAGACAAUGGUCCAUGUAUGCAUGGUCUGCCACCUGGCAUUGCCCGGAGGAAAGGCUUGGCAGAGUGAUUUGACAGGAUUAGGGUCUUGACACCUUGCUUGAGGGAUUAUGGAGGACAGGGGAGGUGUCAUGGAGUCCUAGAGAAAUUGAGCAAAUUGGCACGUUGGUUUUCUAUGAAUUUUAUAGAUUUUAGUCCCUUUUGACAUUGACAAUUGGAAAUAAAUGGAUAUAUUGUAGCGAAGAAGAAGGUGAAGAAGACAUGCCCCCCCCCUUCCGUAUCAGUCCCCCAUUCGGAGAUAGAUUUGCAUUAAAGUUCUGUAAGAACUUGCAAAUCUUUUCUCCGCACCCUAAAUCUCGGUGAAUGUAGGGGUGCCCUGUGAGUGGGAAUAGGCUCUAAUGGAAAAGGAGGUGGGUUGAGCAGGGCAGCAAAAGAGGGAGCAACACGGACAAAUACAAUGUACGCGUGUGUUAUAUAGAUAUGCGCUAAAUAAUAACUUGGUAUCUACCGUACCAGAUGUGUGGGUUUAUGCAAACCUGAAAGGGACUUGCAAGCCAUGCCUCUUACGGUCAUUUGCAAGUAUAGCAGUGCAGAUAGCUGGAUAUAGGAUAUUACAUAAAAGAACACCUGUUGUAUUUUGUUACUAAAUUACUUGUGGCAUUCUAGCUCUUGGGAGAAACAUUUUCAAUAGUGGUGUAUGCUUUACAUUUAACAGGAAGGUCCACUACUGACUGAAAAAAAAUGCAGUUUGCUUUUUAGCCCCACCGUUUUGUGUUCUCAGGUGCCAAGCUAGCUUUUCUGUGGUCUCACACCAGCAUAGUGGUACAGUAACACAUCCUGUUGAAUCCCCUCAGGGCUUUCAUUUAACCAUGUCGCCUGGCACUCACCAUAGCUGGCACAGGUUUGGACAUAUCAUGAGAGAUAUGCCUUUGCCUUGGCCUUUCUAUGGGGUUUUAUUAUUGCAGGCUCUGGUCUUGCACUCAUGGAAAGUUGCUCACUUGCUCUUAAAGGACCAAAAGCUAGUUGCAGCCUGGAUACACGUGCCCAAUUCCAGCAGAGUCCAAUUUGAAUUUAUCUUGCCCCAUGGUUCUCAACUUUUCAAAACCAAUAUGUUAAAACAAAACCAUUCUUAAAAGGGGCACUUGUCCAAAGGAGUCAAUUUAACUGUAUAAGGGACCAUUCCUGCUACAUCAAGGCAUAUACACGUUUCUUGUUAUCAAUAAUAAUAAUAAUAUGUUGGAGAUGUAAGGAAAGUGAAGGAACCUUAUUCUACAUAUGGUAGUCGUGUCCUCAAAUAAAUAAAUAAAAUUUGGGACAUGAUCUACACCCAUUUUCAUUUGGCAUUUUAAUCAAAACAUCUCAAAUAAUAAUAAAGAGCGUUGCUUCAAAGCUACCUGUAAAUAUGGUUCCAAUAAUAAUACUUGGUUGUGGUUAGAUUAAUUUCACAGCUAUACGGGAAAACCAAGAUUAAUAAAUAAAUAAAUACAGAACAAUUGCUACUUAAAGACAGUACUGAAUCUGCAAGUGAUACAGAGAAGUCAUAGAAGAGAUUUGAAAUAGUUUUCUGGAACAGAAAGAAAGAAAUAGUAAAAAGUCUGGGAACUUCAUGUAUAGAAAAACAUUAAAUACAUAAAUAAAUGGGUAGGGAAGGUUGGCACUCUGCAGAGUGCCAGGUGGGACAAGGAAAUAUGAUCAUCAGUUGACUUAAUCUAAAUAUAGCCUGCUCUAUCGGAAAGCAUGUAAUAUAUGAGAAUCCUCCAUGGAAAAAAAAACCUUGGGGUGUAAGCCAUAUCCUUCUGUUGUUCAUAGUUAUGUAUCCUACAUUAUACAGAAACAAUUACACACAGAAAUUUUUGCCCCCUCUUUGUGGAGAUAACACACUAUCAGACACAUUUCAGCAUUCCUACAUAAUAACACAUAAUACACAAAACAUACAAAUUAUUAAUUCUACACCAUAUCUUGAGGCAAUAAUGUGAUCUUGAGACAAUUCUUGCUGCUUUUACAUGUAUUUCCAAACUUGGGCACAAGGGCAUUUCCUUCAAAAUUCAAUUAGUCAGUUUCUCAAGUCUUUUAUGGGAAGAAAUUGUUGUGGCCACUGUGAUGCAUUGGCAGGCUGCUUAGCUGAUGAGGAGAUGGUCUUAAUAUUUUGGUCUCCCGCAAAGCAUCCUUUGGAAAUAGGCCUGCAGGGGGGGUUGGGAUCUGAAGACAUAAUUAGUUGUUGUUGUUGUUUUUUCUUUCUUUUUUUUUAAGGAGGAAGAUAAUAGUCAAGAAAGGAGAGAAUAUUCUAAAAUUUUCUUCUUGGGAGGCUGUAAAUACAAACUCAUAGUUAAGCAUUUUAUCCAUUUAAAUAUUAUAAUCAUUUACAUUUAAUUUCCUUCACUUAGUUUGGCUGUGGAAGAAAUGAAGGGACAAAACCUUUGUUAAUUUGAACACAAUUGGCAAGUUAUUAAACAUUUUGCUUAUGUGGGUCCGAAUUCUCUUCACGUAUCCUGUUUGAAAGGGAAAUUUUUAUUUCCUGUGAAAAUCUCUGUCAGGAAUGCUGUUCCUAUAAUGCAUAGGUAUAUAGUACUCACAAAACCAAACCAGAUAAAAGACAAGCUCAGUGGGAAAACUGUGAAAGAAUUUUGCAUGUUAGAUUGGGGAACUACUCAAGAGAAGAACUCACAGUGGGAGUGCUUUGAUAUUUACCUGUGAAAAGAAUUUGGCAUGUUAAGAUUUGAAACUUGGAAACCUCUUGACUUUUGAUGGUCCAGUACUUAACCCUUUUGUCUUACAUAGCCCCUGGAGCAAAGGACAAAUUAAGGGUGAUUUCCCUCAAUGGUUCCAAGUUUACAUAAGGAAAUUUGGAUAGGUUUCUCCCUGCAGCCCAUGCUCUCCAAACCUCCUCUCCCCCCCCCUUUCUCUCUCUCUCUCUCUCUCUCGCUCUUAGCUGAUCUAGCCUCUGUGCAUGUGCAGAGUUCAUGUCUCAGCAAAACCUUUUAUACUAUUGAAAUGUUGCAUUAAAACAAAGAGCAAAGCUGGGCUGAAUUUCAACUCAUCACAUGCUUGCAGACACAUGGCCCUUCACACAGCCACAAAUUGGGAGAGUUGAAGGGGACCCUGGGGUCAUCUAGUCCAACCCUAAAAGGCAGGGUUCAUAGCAAGAUUUGUACUACCAGAGAGACACACACAUAGUUAUGUACACAGGCACAACCGGGGAAGAGACCACAAUCAAUGCUCCUAUCAUGUACUAAGAAAGAGGAAAAUAAAAGUACCCAACUUUAUACAGAACACUUUUAGCAGAUCUUGAAGCUAGUUUGAGUGAGAGUUUACUUCCUUAGACUAAAGAGUGCAAGUUCCUAGAGAAAUGAUCUUAAAGGAAGAACAGUUUUCCUAAGAUAAGAUAGGAAGAGAAUCUAUAAGCAUAGGGUUAUUUCAGUUGAUAUAACCACUCACAAAUAAUAAAAACAGUCCUGGAUUUGAUUUAAAAGGGAUACAAAAGUUAAUAAUGUUUCUGAACUUGCAUAGGAAUAGUACGCCUAAUUAAGAUUUUUUUAAAUAACGAUACAUAGGAAAGUGAGAUGACGGGUACUUUUAGCAAAGAAUGUGCCCCCCUCCCUUGUUGAAGGAAGCUUACUCGGGAGUAAAUUCACUCUGCAGGGAAGUAAGAAAAAGGGGGGGAGGACCUGAAAGAGACUUAAACAAGUGGGGGAGGCAUUUUCCAAUAAGAAGCCAGGAAACCCUGGCUGAUCUUAGAGACUGAUAUCAGGACUGGACUCUAUAGAUAGACAAUUGUUGUCUAUCGAAGCUUCUACCUUUUAUUAACAAUUUUCUUAGAAGGAACACCUAUUUUCAUAGGCAUGUGCUUAAUGAAAUACAGACACUGCAUUUUAGCUUGAGAGAGCAGUUGUGCUCAACUACGCUUUUGCAGCAGAAACAUUAGGUUAACUUCACAUUCCAAAAUAGGCUGUAGACUCACAAUCUCAAAAGUUGCGGCAAAGCAAGAGGUGGGGUAAACAUUUGCACACUUCAUUCUCAUUUUUGUCUUAUUUAGGACUGAUAAGGUCCAGCCUGGCUUCCUUAGAUUUAAAAUUUUGAAACAAGCUCGUAGUUUAAACUAUGCGCACUUAAGAAAGGCAGUCUGUCAGAGACAAAAGGAACAGACAACACACAUAACAGACAACAUGUAAACAUACAUAUUCUCAUAUAUGUAUUAAUAGACAACACACAUAACAGACAACAUGUAAACAUAUAUAUUCUCAUCCUUUAGUUGGUUAUUGCAAGGAGUUGGGCCGCUACCUUUGGCUUCAUUAAGUGAAAUUAGUAGGAAGGUCCCACAUGGUUUUAUGAGCCUCCUUGCCUCUUCAAACACACCACCAGUUAAUCAAACUGGCAGGGCUCACAACGCUUGGUUGACUGGGUACCCUUUUAUAUAUGUAUGCGUUGCUGUUGUUGCUUUUUGUUGUUUUUUCUUUUUUGGGGGGGUGUCUGGGAUAGAGAAGGGAGAAAGAGAGGGGUUGAUUAGGAUUUGGGUAACUUGUACAGGGGGCUAUUUAGGGUUUUUCUAUCUCUUGUUGCUUGGCAACUUCCUAGUGGUUUUAGUGAGCUCUAACUAUCCGGUUUCCCUUUAUUCCUUUCCUUAUUUCCUAUUCCAAAUCUUGGGGUUCCUUUCCACUCUGCCAAAUCCCGCCCAAUUCCUCCUGGGCUAUCCCUCCUGGCAACCUCCUACCUAUCGUCACAAUCUCAGGAAAAGGGGCCCUACUGAACGCCCGCGCCGUGCGGUGCCAGAUCGGGUGAUCCCUGGAUAGAGUUUCGAACCGAAAAUCCCCCUUGCUUUUGGAAGCGGGCUCACGCACGAUACACGUAUUACGUGGCACCGACCAGUGCGGCUGGGAUUGAUGAUAGAAAGCCAGACCCCUUCCUGCCCCCUUGCCGGGCGCUAGGGAAGUUCGGAAAGAGAGCUCCAACCCCUUGCUUUCAACUGGGAUGCCCGUUGCGGAGAGUCGGCUAUUUUUCAAGUCGGCUCUCUCCGUCUUACUUUCGGACUCCCAAUUGGUGCGGCUGGCUGGAGGGUUUUUUUUAAGAGAAAGAGAUAGAGCUCAGAACCCCCCUUUCGGGUCGAGCGGCGGUCCACGGUCUCUCUCACUAACCGGACCAAGAGAAAGGUAAGAAGGAGCGAUAGAGAGGAGGGCAGAGAAUUCAGUUGCCAGGAGACUUCCACCCCCUUCCCACCAGUGCACUGGAUUUUCUUUUCCUUAUACUCACGUGUCUUCUACGAUGAUCCCGGGAUCGAUGAAUAAGCCGGCUGGAUCCCUCUUUGCUCCCCGGCUGAACUCCUGGGGCUUUCGAUUACCGCCCGGAAGAUGGCCGGGGAUCCAAAAGGAUCUUCCCAGGCAAAAUGGCCCAGAGCCGGCUGAAGAUUUCGGGGGCCCCGGUCAGCAGCUCGGGAGAACUGCAAGCCCCACGUGGGGCGCCAACUGUUACGGUAAAAUCUGGGUGUGGGGUUACUCUGCCACCCAGCUCGUCGGACUAGGUCCGCGGGUCCCUGCGGAAGAAAAUGAGCUCAGCUGGACAGGAGCAAACUGCAGGAGAUCCAAGUUUAUUGCGCAACAGGUUCAAGGCGAGAUUGAACCGCGAGAAAGGGGUGACAUGAACUUUUGAAAUUUCCCUCCAUGUCCCAGAAUACAGUGCAAAAUACAUCCCAGUUACAUCAUGAAUACAUUAAGAAGAGGUUGGGUUACACAGAUUACAUCAUGAAUACAUUAAGAAGAGGUUGGGUCACACAGGAUUAACAUAUGGAGGAGGGAGGGGGGAAUAUGCAGAGCUGGAGAUAUGCGCAGAUAAGCACAUCCUGAGUACCUGAUGAGAAGACAAUGGUCCAUGUAUGCAUGGUCUGCCACCUGGCAUUGCCCGGAGGAAAGGCUUGGCAGAGUGAUUUGACAGGAUUAGGGUCUUGACACCUUGCUUGAGGGAUUAUGGAGGACAGGGGAGGUGUCAUGGAGUCCUAGAGAAAUUGAGCAAAUUGGCACGUUGGUUUUCUAUGAAUUUUAUAGAUUUUAGUCCCUUUUGACAUUGACAAUUGGAAAUAAAUGGAUAUAUUGUAGCGAAGAAGGAGGUGAAGAAGACAUGCCCCCCCCUUCCGUAUCAGAACCUUGUUGCGACAAAUAAAAACCAGGUCUACUGACCACUAUUUGCUUCUUUAACUUGGCUGGAGACUCCUUCUUUGCUGACCCAGAGAGACCCACGGGAAGUGGCACCCCGAUGUGCUGGGCAGGGGAGUAAAUCCGCACCCCAGGAUUUUUUCGUUAUCAAGGGGUUGGUUUUGCUCUCUGUGUUUUUCUUGAAGCUGUCGAGCGGUGAAAAUCACUGUGGUCGAAAACCAUUUUGGGAUGUUGAUCUUGGCAAUCAAGGGCUAUUGGCCAUUAUUUCUAUGCUCAGUCUCCACCUGCUGAAGCAUUAACCCUUCUGAAGAGCAGGCGCUGGAAGGCGCAUCAGAGGAGAGGGCUGUUGCGCUGGGAUCCUGCUCGCAGCGUUUCCCACUGGCCACUGUGAGAACAGGAGGCUGCCCUAGAGGAGCCCGCUGGGACCUGAUCCAGUGGGCAUAUGUUGUUGGCCCAUCUCCAUUAAAUGUUCAGCUUUCAUUCUUUUUAAGGAAAGCAAUGACAAGCCUAGACAGCAUCUUAAAAAGCAGAGACAUCACCUUGCCAACAAAGGUCCAUACAAUGGUACCUCGGGUUACAUACGCUUCAUGUUACAUAUGCUUCAGGUUACAGACUCCGCUAACCCAUGAAUUGUACCGCGAGUUAAGAACUUUGCUUCAGGAUGAGAACAGAACUCAUGCUCCAGCGGCGUGGCAGCAGCAGGAGGCCCCAUUAGCUAAAGUGGUGCUUCAGGUUAAGAACUGUUUCAAGUUAAGAACGGACCUCCGGAACGAAUUAAGUACUUAACCCGAGGUACCACUGUAUAGUUAAAGCUAUGGUUUUCCUAGCACGGUAGUGAUGUAUGGAAGUGAGAGCUGGACCAUCAAGAAGGCUGAUCGCUGAAGAAUUGAUGCUUUUGAAUUCUGGUGCUGGAGGAGACUCUUGAGAGUCCCAUGGACUGCAAGAAGAUCAAACGUAUCCAUUCUGAAGGAAAUCAGCCCUGAGUGCUCACUGGAAGGACAGAUCCUGAAGCUCAGGCUCCAAGACUU